rnacentral:rRNA from 1 species
UCAAGAACCUUCCGCAAUGGACGAAAGUCUGACGGAGCGACGCCGCGUGAUGGACGAAGUACUUCGGUACGUAAACAUCUUUUAUGAGGGACGAAAUUUUUGACGGUACCUCAUGAAUAAGGGGCUCCUAACUCUGUGCCAGCAGGAGUGGUAAUACAGAGGCCCCAAGCGUUAUCCGGAAUCACUGGGCGUAAAGGGUGUCGAGGCGGCUAUAUUAGUCUUGUGUAAAAUCUAGGAGCUCAACUUCUAG